UUGUGAAGUAGAGGGGUCUUAAUAUUUCCAAGGAACUUCCAAUACACAUCCAGUGUAAGACGGAGCCAAAUGAACUACGUAAAUGGAGGAAAGCAACGCCAUUGGUCGGGGCUUUCCAAUACACACCAGCAGAGCUCGGAUCCUAUAAAAAACUAAUACCAGAAGUAGAAGUCAAGAGAUUUUGGGACUACUGUAACGAUGUGUAUGUGAUGUUUAGUUCCACAGAUGUGCAUUAAAAUCUCUUCUCGUUUUGACUAUGAGCAGAAGGAGUUCCGAGUCUUAUUUAACCUUUAUUUAUAUACUCUAUGAGUUUAGGCACCUUUAAAUUCCUCAAUAUAAAUGGUGAUACCCGACGUGCCAAUGAGCCGAUUCAGACUUAAAGGGGACGAAAAGGUGUCUCUCUCCAGACUGGCUGCAAGGCAGGGAUCCGGGCCAGACACAGAAAAAGAGGUACGAUU